rnacentral:lncRNA from 1 species
AACCCCAGCUCUGAGGAGACUCUUGUGUGUGCCUGAGCUCAGCCCCGCCCCACUGGGUGUCCUGCUCCUUACGAGGUGGAAGCAUCCAUGUCUGGUCCUGGGCGGUGAGAGUUUGAUGCCCAAGCUGCUGAUAUAACAACAUCCGGGCAAUUUGGACUGGUGAAGGCCAUUGGUGCAAAAUCCCCCAAACCCCGCUAGCUGAGCCUGGAGCUCAGCCACAGUCCGGCUGGUUGUGUGGAGAA